ensembl:lncRNA
GACAGAAAGACUUUCAUAUUCCCCAGACUUUAAGACCCUUAUAGCAGGGCUAUAAGCAAGCAAGAACAGGGGAAGGAACUCACAUGGUAAGUCCAGUGGUCAGUGGGAGGUACUGGCCCUGGAAGUGCUGGUUUCCCUACAACCAAGAUUCUGUCACCCUCCCUAUUGGAAAUGCCCUGUCAUGGGGAGGAGACAUAGUUGACCUGAUGAACCAUCAAGGCCAGCAUUGAGCUCUCCACUCAACAAUAUCCAGCUGGAGAUCUAAGCUGAUCCCAGCCAGGAUCAAACUAGCCUUGCAAAUACCCACUGGCCCAGGGCAAUGAUUAUAUGAAGGCUGCUGCCCUCACUUGACCAGAUUAUAUGUGGGGAGGGUGAAAGAGAGUACACAUGAUUAAAAAGUAAGACAUUUGUUCUUAAGUCCCCCAGGGUAAAUUAAAACAUAUUAGUAUCACACAAAAAACAAUUAAGAAUCUAGGCAAAGUGAAAUUUGCUUAGACGAUCUGACUGAAUCUGAAUGAUAACAGGAUUUCAGGUAUAGAGUGAGAAGGGACCUUAGUUCAAUCUAGUUUAACCACCUCGUUUUGUGAGGAAACGGGAUCAGAGAGACAAAUUCUGGAAGAAAAAACUAUCAAGGUCACAGUAAUAUACUGGAAAGUCUCAUACUUGGAGUAGCCGAUUCCUAGGUUUCAGCUUCCAGCUAUGGGACCUCGGGCAAUCAGAGCCUCUCUGAGUCCUACUAUCUUUAUUUUAAAAAUGGGAGUAAGGUGUGUAAAGUGCUUUGAAAACCUUAAAAUGUUCUAUAAACAAAAUCUGUUAUUAUGGAGAGAAAAUUGGAGGCCAGGCCAAGUGAGGAUGGAAGGAAUGGGGUCACGUUAGCCCAGAGAACAAAAGACAGGGGGAGGGGGCUCUCCCUGAAGGCUGGCUUCCAUUAUUGGAAAAAAGGCUUUCUUGUGGGAUCUCAGAAGGACCUUAGAGAUCAUCUAGUCUAACUUCAUUUUACAGAUGAGAGAAUUGCGGCCCAGAGAGGGGACUGGCUUGUCCAAAGGGCCAGACAAAAGCUUUCUGACUUAAAAUCAGCUACUUUUCUAUGUCAUCCUUAGACUUGCUCUGAUGGACCUCAGUCAUUGCCCGAAGAAAUGGGUGGAAACCACAGAGAGGCAGAUUGAAAUCCAACAUAAGAAAAGCUUUCUAAGACAGUUCCAUCUGUCCCCAAAUGUCCAUUUGCUGGAGCUACCCUACCCCUGGAGGUCUUCAAGCAGACUCGUGAUAAGCUUGUAUUAGGAACGUUAGAGAGGAAUUCUUGGCUCAGGUCCUUCUGAUGUACAAGAGGCAGUACAGCUCAAUGAGAAUUGGAUUCAAGAGCCAGAGGACUUGGGGUCCCAUCCCAGUUCUGCCACUUGAUCAUGUAGAUCUGAUCAAGUGCCUUUCCAUGCUCAGUUUCCUACUCUAUAUAACACUAAUACUUGCCCUACCUAUCUCACAGGAGCUUUGUGAAGAUCAAAGACAAUGAAAUUAGGAAACACUACCCCAGCCUUCCCCAUCAUCACCCUCACCACCUGAUUUCUCUUGUCCCCUCUACUCACUCUUUUGAUCAAUAAUGGGACAGAGAGAGGACCUAGGAUUUCAGUGACAAAAAUGAACUCCCAGAGAGAAAAUUCCCUUUACCCUUGUAAGAUAGCAUCUUCUCAGCACUUGGAAGUAAAGUGACUUAUCCUCCUAGAACAAUCAAGGCUGAGAUGCAGGGGGGUGUGACUAAGAAGGGUUCCACAUUAGAAUUAUUCCUACACCAAAGCCCUUUUCUGAACAUACUGAUUUCUGAAAAUACAAAUAUUUAUAGAAAAUUUAGAGCUCUGCAUGUUACAUGAAAAACUUCAUCUGACCCUAUUAACAAUCAAUUCUCUAAAGCAGGUUAUAGGUGAUAUCUCUCCAUUUUACAGAUGAGUAAACCAAGGGUCAGAGUGUUUAAGUACAUUGUCACAUAAUUAGUAAGUAUCGGAGUAAGGAUAUGAACUCAGAUCUUUCUGAUUUUAAGUCUAAUCUCACUCCAGAACACCAAGAUCAGAGCCAAUGGGAUUGGAGAACAAUGAAUCUUUGCAUUUGUAAUGGGCUGAAAAGAGUACCUGAGAUUGAAUUCAAGAGCCAGUACGUGGUAGGUUCUGUUUUCCAGAGUAACAACUUUGGAGAAUGGGUGGGAUAGGAUGCCCAAGACCCAAAUGGAAACCUUCACUCCUCUCACUUGUGAGGUGACAAAGGAAACACUGCCCCCCACUUUCUUGAGAGGCUGGCACUUCUGAACUAGAAGCAGCCAUUCUGCAUCUUGGGUUUUUGUUCUUGUAUAAAAUUUGUGGAAAGGAGGAAAUAUCUCGAGGCUGCUGUUGGUUUAUUGAACCAUCAAACUACAGUACUUUCCCCCUCAUAAUAACUUAUUCUAGGUUGCAUCAGGGAGCAGCCCUCCCCUCCAAGUUGUAUAAUCAGUGAAAGAUCAACAAGAGCCUUGGGAAGGUUAUAGGGGAGAGUAGGAAAGCCUUGACUCCAGAAUCAGGUGACUAAUGGUGAAAUCCCAGAUCAAUCAUUUACUAGAUUUACUAUAUAGCUCUUUGAGCCUCAGUUUCUGUACCUGUAAAAUGGAAAUAGUAAAACUUAU